GUUUUGAGAAAAUCACAAAGAAAUCAAGAAGAGGGUGGCAGCUCCAAUGGAGCGACCUCAACUCUACCAAGACAACCUUUAGCCGAUAAUGGUCAAGUAAUGUCUGUGGUAGCUGCCAAUGAUCAGCAUGCUAGUGUACCCACGACUCCUAAUUGUUUAGGUAUGACAAAAAGAAAAAGGGGCCUAUCACGAGGCAUUACAGUUCAAAAGAUUGUAUAAAAUGGUGAGAAAAUAUGUCAUGUACGUAUCCCUGAUGUUAAGUGGGGACCACUGGGUAAAAAUGCUUCUUUGUUCAAGACUAACGUAGGCGUUGUAUGAUGCCUAUUUGCUCCGUUGAGUGUGCCAUACUGGAAUGAAAUGACGGACGUCGGAAAGGCUCCAAUGUUCGCACGCCUUGUUGUAAGUAGUCUUCUUUUUUUUAAAUGUCAUAAUUUUUUACCAUAUUCUUAGUUGUUGAAUUGUUAGUCUAAGUACCGAAAGACCUUUUGAGUUUGACGCAUAGCUCUUGUGUUGCUGUGUUGCUAUGUUGCUGUAUUUGAAAGUGAAGAAAAAGAGGCUUUGUAAAGCUUAUAUCAAGUGAAGAAAAUCAGCAUUUAA